rnacentral:lncRNA from 1 species
CUGGCAGGGGAGAAAAGGGGAGGGAACACAGAUAAUCCUUUAGGUGCGCUGAGCCUACGAGAUGCCCCAGGGAGAUGUCUGGGGACAGCAGGUGACACUACUCUCACCCCCAGCAGAAGCCUCGCCCCCUCAUCGGGAUCUUGAGCACCCCUGGGACCCUCCUGCACCUCAUCCAUUGCCAUCACAUCCCCUGAAGUUCUUGCAUAAACUCACCAAUCCCUGCUCCAUGAUUACUUGGUCACGCUCUACAAACGCCUUACGAAUGAGAAAACGCUUUCACAACAUUAACCCAUUCUUCCACAUGUUGUUCCCAAAUUACACGGGAGAAAAUGAAGCACCCCCUACUGAAGGCGGUGUGUCUCAGCCCUCCAACCAGUCCAACUCUGGCGGUGCAUGGAGCAGCCUGGCAGAGGCCGUAUGGACCUGCAGAUCGAACCCCUGCACCCUCCGGCCACAGGAAGUCUGAAGUCAUCGGACACCACUUCCCGGACCCUUCCUCCAACACGCCUGAAAUGCA